GCACAACCACCUGUAGCUGAAUGGGAACUACAGCCCCAGAGAGAGAAGGCAGCACGAACCACGUCAGGUCUGGAGGAGCCUGAAGAUGGUAACGUUCAAGAGAUGGCCGCUAAAGCCGGACUGCAACCUGCGGUCCAUCACGAAGAAGUCCUGCCCCAUCCUUCCGCACGCAGUUUAUCGGAAAGACACUAGGAACCGAAUCCCGAUGCUCACAGCACAGCACAGCACAGCACCGGACCAAAGGCGCCGGGAAGCAGCACGGCUCUCACAUCUCUCCCCUCCCAAAGAGAAGCAGUCAGACGUUUCCCCACAGAGCCCUUCCACCGCCUCACCAGAGCGCUCCCGCCGCCGAACCGACCCCCCGCCCGCACCGACCGCAGCGCGGGAACGGGGCGCUGAGAGCCACACCCUCACGCCCGGCACGAGGGCUCCCACACCUCCCCGGAGCCGCCCGGCACCGCACCGGCGGAUCCCGAGGGAGAGCGGGAACGGCCGCUGCUCUGGAACCCGUCCCGAGGCGCCGGGAGGAGCGGGCUCUUACCUCGCCCGUGGCCGUACCUCAGCUCCGCAGGCGGCCGCUACCGACUGAGCCCAGCCCCGCCUCGCCCAGCGCCCGCCCCUUCCUUCACCUGCCGCCGCGGGCCGCCCUGAGGCGGGCCUGACUGCGCUCCAUCCUCUCCUCCCUCCGCUGGUGUGAGCUGCCGGGACCGCACCGCCCUCCUUCGGCCACCGCCACCCACGCAGAGCUGUUUGGCUUGGAAGGACCUCACAGCCCGCCCAGCCCCACCCCUGCCGCGGGAUGGGUGCCUUCAUCACCUCAGGCUGCCCAGGGCGCAUCCAAUCCGGCCCCGAGCACCUCUGGGGACGGGGCGCCCACAGCUCCCUGGGCAACCCGAACGCUCUGCUUCUGCCGCCAGGGAAGGAGCGGCUGCGCUGGGUUGGACAAAUGCCGGGGUCCCACAGGACUCAACUGAGAGCAGCUCUUCUGCCAGGCCCCGGGAGAUACAAAGCGCUCCACUUUAACUCCAUUUACCCUUGUUAACAAGAAUGUAACCGAAAAACAGCACUUAAUAAAGCAACGCCCCCAUCUAAAACCUUGUUCUUUGCAUAAUUCUGCAGAUUUGGAUGAACAAAGUUCACUUAGCUUUAGUCAGCCAAUAUUUUAAGUUAGUUUUAUAGCCUUUAACCUUUGCAGUGGCAUUAAAAUGGUUUCUGUGGUCAGAAAACACAGCGGUGCGGUAUUUCCCAUGAAUGCCAUUUAUCAGCAUUUCUCUUUGUCGUUCAUAGAGUUUUGAAAUAUGAAGUAGCAAAAAGAAUCAGUGCCUCCUAUGAAGAGAGAAAAGGUGGUCCUUGGUCUGUGAAAUAAAGCCCUGUUGUUUUAAGUGCAGCAGAGACUACCAAAAGCUGGUUAGGAAAUGCAGCUGAGCAUUUGAGCCCCGAUGGAUUUACAGCUGAAGUAUUGUGCUGUAAACACCUCCUCUUGGAUUUGCAGGAGACUUUAAGCAAAGAAAAAUAUUGUUUUUGAGUACAAGGGAGUAAUUGCACUGGCAGAGCCUAAGGAAAAUGAUUUUCCUUAACCUUUCCCACAACAGAAAUCUUGGCUGCAGCAGCACCAGCCUUACCCUGGCUGUAGUGUUCUGCUGCAUGAAGACGGACGGCUGUGUACGACUGUAGGCAGGCUGUAUAACGUAAGCCCUAUAGGAAGAUGGCAAGUGGGAAAGUGGUUUGUGUGCAGCACUGCCACUGAUAUCAGUUCUGUGUCAGAACACCCCAACUUGGUUGGUGGAAAUAACAGCAGCUAUUUUCCCAUAUGACUAAAUCCAGAGCUUUCAGACUCCGGAGAAGACAGAUUACCGCACUGAAGGCACUAAGCUAAAGCAGGUGUGGGGAACCUUAUUUCGUUGGCUGAAUACGCUCGGUGAUUUCAUUUUAUAUGGUAUGGCCCACGAUUAAAAUUAGAGUGUAUGUUAUUACCAGGUAGCAGAGCAUGUCAACACGUGGCCUGCCAAAUACAUUGGGAAGGUUUAUUUGAUCCUCAGCAAGGAAAAUAUUCCCCAUCCCCAAGCUGAAAGCUAAACUGACAAGCCCUUAUACACACUGUGGCAAGAUACGAGGCCCUCCUCCAGCUCUCUUCUCAGCUGAGUUUUCUUUUUGGACCAGAAAAGCUCUCUGUGUGAUCUCAAUUGCAGGCAGUAUUCCAGCUGAGAGGACAGGAACACUCCAUUAUUCCUCCUGGAAAGGCUGUGCCUGAUCCCUUUGAGGAUCACAGCUGUGUAACACCAGGAAAUGGUAAUUAUUUUAUGAGCUCGCACUUUCUCAGCUGUCUCAAACUGAUGAACUCAUUACUUACAGUUGGAGCCUCCACUAGCUCACAGCUGUGUGAUUCUGGUAAAAUUACAUUAUUCUCAUCAUAGAAGCCACCCAGAUAUUCUGAAUUGUAAUACUCUUCUGCAGUGAGGAAACGGCUCGACUUUAUUUUGGUAGUGAAGGUAACAUAACCUUCAUCUAAACAAUCAUGUUCUUAUCAGACAGGAUGGUCAGACUGGUCUGGCACAGCCUACUCUAGGGAGGAAAAAGUCCAGUUUUAUCCCACUUACCUCUGCAUCCUUAAUUACUUUUUCUUCAAAUCUGCAUAUAAAAUCAGACAGAAAGGACUAUAUCCGUGAUGCUGAUUUCACUUCCAUCCUUCUUAAAUACAUAUUUUGUACAUUCCUCAUUCUGAAAAACAGCAUAUGAUUUUCAGCUUGACUGGAUUCCCCAGCACUGUGACCUGGCUUUCCUACCUGCAGGUUGUGAACUGGGGUUACCUGUUUAAAUAUGCAACAUACCUAAGACUUUAAGCAUGCUCAGAUGUUUUCCAGUCUCUUGCUUUACCCCCAGCAUCACAACCAGUUUGGACUUUGCUUGCUGCUGUGGCUCCUAGUUGCUGUCCCAAGCUGGGAACGCAGACUGCAAUCACGAGUCUGGCUCCAGAGACAGUAUCACAAGAGGCCCUAAUGGGGGCCUGUCAGGAGAAGUGCACUACACGUAAAUAAUAACAUUUGCUCUGAGAUGUACAAGGAUUCUGAUCGCUCUGCCCUACAGGCAUGCCUCAAAAUGACAACAUACUUAGUGUAAAGAGGGUACUUACCUUUAUUCGUUAGAAGUGUCAGAGAAACACGAAAAAUGUUUGAAUUCCAAAGACAGAGAACGAAAAAAAAGCACAUUUUCUUUAACAAUGUUCUCUGUUGUGUUCAUAGGACUCUUACCAAGCCGUUGAUAAAAAUAAAGCCUCUGGGUUUUUGUUUUGUUUCGUUCUGUUUUUUCCUUUUCCUUCUAAUGCUGACAAAUACUGCAAUUAAUUUAAGCUACGUAAUCUAUUCCAGAUCCCAACUGUAUCCCCACUGAGACAGAAUAAUUCCUAAUGCAUGGAGGAAAUAUGCCAGAAAAAGCAGGGUCUGUGAAGGCAUUUGCCCAUUUCUGCCAUGCUCUCCUGCUGAAGCUUUAAGGAAAUAAUCUAAUACUUCUGCAACACAUUUGGCUGACAGCUACUGUGUCCCUCCUUCUCUUCGGUAUAACAGUCUCACUGAUGCGCAGGAUGAAAGCGAUCUGUCUGAGGUUGUUCCUGUUGCUGCCAACAUUUGCUGCACUGCAUUUGUAAUCAAAUUAUUUUGUUCCUCUCUCUGGAAAGCAGCACUACCGCCUGACUUCCUUGCAGUGCGUUUUGUGCUGAAGCAGCCAUAAUUUGGGUUUGGUGUGGGAAAUGCGAGGAUGUCCAUUUGACAAACAUGUUUUGCGGUUGCACAAAACAUCAGGGAUGAAAAUGAAAAGUAUUUGAGAAACAUGGAUUUAUAAAAAAUCCGAGAAAGAAAUCUGUCACAUACCUGGCCGCUGGAGGAAACUGCAACACUGGCUAGCAGAAGUUUUCAGCCUGCAUGAUCAUACUUAUUAAGGGAGGAUGAGGCCAUUAUUGAGACCAGAAAAAGGCAUUUUCUCAAACUUGCCUGCUCUCAUCAGCAGACACUAUGGACUUCUCCCACGUGACACCGUUUGCUAAUCCAUCUGCAGAUAAGAGAGAUGAAAACCACUGGUUUCCAUCCCAUGUUCCAAAGGACUAUUUCUUACAAUCCAAAAUGUGUUCAUUAGUUUCACUUUGAGCACAUAAGUAAAAAAUCACAGUGAAUGCCAAACUUACAGUGAUGGUGAAAUUUGUCUUUAGAUAAGCGCUGGGUUUUUUUUUCCCCUUCGAAACUGAAGAAAUGAAACCUCCCUGUAGCUGCAGGGGCAGAGAAUCCCAAACCUCCAGCAUGUGAUUCAUGAUUUGAGUGCGCCGCGCUGUGACGUCCUCCCACUCUUUCCAGUCUCUUACCAAAGACUGCAGAGUAACGGAAAUCAUCAGAGCAAUUCCAGUCUGCUGGUGGUAGAGUCGGGGAUCUACAGGCUGGUAGACACGACAUCUGACCGGGGCAUAUCUACAAGGUAGGAGUACUCUACUGUGCCCUGCAUCCAUGGAAGAAGCAUCUGCUAUUGGCAUGAGGCAUCAAUCAAGCAACUCAAGAGUCUCCUUGAACAGAGAAUCCCAUAAUAGAUUUUCUGAUCCACCAGAGUUCAAACAUAAGGGCCCAGCUGGAGUUUCACCAGCUGCAGUCACUACACGCAGGGCACAAAGGAAGCCUCCUGCUGUCUGCAUGUUCUGGGUGAUGGCUCAGCCUCAUACAUCCACUGCCCCCUGAACUUGGCCGCUCUGUGUCCUCAUACUCCCUGAUGUUCAGGAGCAGCUUGCUCAGUUCCUCAGGAAGAGCAAUGUAACAAUACAAAUACACUGAUUUAAUGCUUUUAAGCAGCAUUAUUGAUUGUAACUGCUCCAAAUGAAUAAAAUAUUCUGUAAUUACGUGACUGACUUGUGCUUCUUGGUUUAAGACCAUUAACUUUAACCCUUGAACCCUUCCACCUUCAUCAAAACCAAAGAGCCCCCAGCCUUGCUUCCCUGUGCCCCAACCCAUCACCCAAACCUUAAAUCCAACUCUCUUCCCACAGGCUUGCCACCCCAGCCAUUCCCAGACCCAGUCCUGGUUCAGGCUGUCAGAUUGGGUGGCAAAUUUAGUUCCAGGACAUGCUUUAGCCCCAUCUCAAUUCAUAACCACCAAAAUCCAAUCU